AGCAGCCGCGGUAAAUUCCAGCUCCAAUAGCGUAUAUUAAAGUUGUUGCAGUUAAAAAGCUCGUAGUUGAACUUCGGGGUCUACCCAUUGGUCAGGCUUAAUUGUCUGCACUGGUAGGAUGGAUCUCUACCUUCUGAGGAACUUUCAUGCCAUUUAUUUGGUGUGAUGGGAAACCAGGACUGUUACUUUGAAAAUAUUAGAGUGUUUAAAGCAGACUAUCGUCUGAAUACAUUAGCAUGGAAUAAUGGAAUAGGACGGACUGAUUCUAUUUCGUUGGUUUCUAGGAUCACCGUAAUGAUUAAUAGGGAUAGUUGGGGGCAUUAGUAUUCAAUUGUCAGAGGUGAAAUUCUUGGAUUUAUUGAAGACUAACUACUGCGAAACCAUUUGCCAUGGAUGUUUU
rnacentral:rRNA from 1 species